rnacentral:rRNA from 1 species
GACGAACGCUGGCGGCGUGCCUAAUACAUGCAAGUAGAACAGUUGCGAACAGGUGCGUAACGCGUAGGUCACUGCCUCAAAGCGGGGGAAAACUAUUGGACACGGUAGCUUAUACAGCAUACUGUGAGCUGGACCUGCGUUGUAUGUGAUAGGUGGUAAGGUAAAGGCUCACCAAGGCGACGAUACAUAGCCGACCUGAGAGGGUGAUCUGCCACACUGGGACUGAGACACGGCCCAGACUCCGACGGGAGGCAGCAAUAGGGAAACGUCGGCAAUGGACGGAAGUCUUGCCGAGCAACGCCGCGUGAUUGAAGAAGGUUUUCUGAGCGUAAAGCUCUUUUGUUAGAGAAGCGGUAACUAACCAGAAAGGGACGGCUAACUACGGGCCAGCAGCCGCGGUAAUUC